UGUGGAAAGGUCCCUGUCACCAAUGGC
rnacentral:piRNA from 1 species